rnacentral:rRNA from 1 species
UUAGAGUUUGAUCCUGGCUCAGAUUGAACGCUGGCGGCAGGCCUAACACAUGCAAGUCGAGCGGAUGACAGGAGCUUGCUCCUGAAUUCAGCGGCGGACGGGUGAGUAAUGCCUAGGAAUCUGCCUGGUAGUGGGGGACAACGUUUCGAAAGGAACGCUAAUACCGCAUACGUCCUACGGGAGAAAGCAGGGGACCUUCGGGCCUUGCGCUAUCAGAUGAGCCUAGGUCGGAUUAGCUAGUUGGUGAGGUAAUGGCUCACCAAGGCGACGAUCCGUAACUGGUCUGAGAGGAUGAUCAGUCACACUGGAACUGAGACACGGUCCAGACUCCUACGGGAGGCAGCAGUGGGGAAUAUUGGAAAAUGAGCGAAAGCCUGAUCCAGCCAUGCCGC